UCUCAUUGGCCAUUCUUCUUGCCGCGCUCAAGUAUUCUUUCAUUGCCGCUCUUCUUAUUUUCAUUCUCAUCACCCUUCUUUAGAUCAUGGUGACAUUAUUGACUGAUGUUAAGAGAUAUGAAAUCUGUUGAUCACAUUUAUGAGCUAGGCAUCUGUUCUCUUAGAAAGUUAUAACCAACGGAGCCAGGUACCUAUGUACACAUUUACGGAGCAUUCAGUGGACCGCACUAGAAUGAUCAACAUCUGCUUAUAGUUCACUUCUUAGAAGGAAGGAGCAAUCUUCAAUCACAAUAUUGACCAAGCUUAAUGAUAGAAAUCUUUCCUCUAUGGAGGCAACAAAUCCUCGCAACCAUAAAUGUUUACAAGCUGCAAGUGUGCGUAGCAGGUUCAGAAGCUAUUCUUGCAAAAAAUGGGAAUCAAGAAUACCUUCAAGUUCUUUUUGCCUUAGCCACAGGUGAAGCAACUCAGCCUCAAGCAUCUCUGGUCUAAAUAUCCUCAAACGUAAAUGUUUCUUAAUCCUAUGUUCUCUAGCCAAGUCUGGUAUCUGCAGACCCAUUUCUCACGUUUACAGUUGGAUCUUGUCAUCAACGAACCAGCAUCAGUUUUGGUAGCCCUCUCCAUCAAGCACACCGGGAAACUUGUGUGGAGGAAGAAUUUUCGACUGCACAAAGAAUUGAAGCAUGGUCUCUCGUGCCCUUACCGCCAGAAAAUUUACCCAUUAACUGCAAAUGGCCAUUCAUGAUUAAGCUUAAUGCAAAUGAGGUUGUUCAAAGCUAGACUCGUAGCUAAAGGCUCCCCCCAAAAAAAAACCAAAAAUAAAGGGGCGCUUUUUAAGAUGAUGCAAGAAUUGACAGAUGUCAAAUGUGAGGCAGGAGCAUGUAAAGUUCAAAUACUUUGAUGCGUCAAUCAAGAUUGUGUUAUUUAUGGAUGUUCUGGAUCUGAAUGUCCGUCUUUAAGAGCUGGGAGCAUUGGUGUACAUGCGGUUUAAAAUGAGUCAGUACAUGUACUUUUAAGUGUAUCUAUUUGAAACGCCAUGUCAUAUAAUACCUUGUUUGGACAAAGGAUUAACAAAUUAUCUAAAAGUAGCAGACAAUAUUGCAUGUU